UACGGAAUGUGCAAACGUUAUUCGGAAUCACUGGGCUUAAAGAGUCCGUAGGCGGCAUGUUAGGUGAGGUGUGAAAUCCCCCGGCUCAACCGAGGAAUUGCGCUUCAAACCGGCGUGCUAGAGGAAGAUAGAGGUGGGCGGAACUGAUGGUGGAGCGGUGAAAUGCGUUGAUAUCAUCAGGAACACCGGAGGCGAAGGCGGCCCACUGGGUCUUUUCUGACGCUGGGGGACGAAAGCUAGGGGAGCGAACGGG
rnacentral:rRNA from 1 species